GACAUCUUGUCGGGGUGCCUGUGCCAAGCGUUAUUGCGCUACAGGCUGAGAUAACACCCGUGAACCUGAUCCAGUUCGUACUGGCGGAGGAAAUAAGAUGCAAUACCAU
rnacentral:ncRNA from 2 species